UGGAAUCUACUACCCAUUCGUAUUGCUAAAAUACACAACUAUUUAUAAUGAAUCACAUAGAAAAAAAAUACAAAACCCAUUAAAUGUAUUAUUUCACGUAUAGACAGAAAUAAUAGUGAUCACUCAAAAGGGCCGUUACCUUCAAAGAGGCAAAAUUCCAGAAAUCCUUCAAUUUCAAUGAAUAAGAACUAAAAUUGAGAAUAAAUUAAAUAAUUAAAAAAAGAUUACACCUGGUCAGCUGCUACAGAUAUUUUUUUGUGGGUUGGAAUUUUGCCCCCGUUCUUGGCCUUCAUAGCCUAGAGUCCCCACUUGCGGUACAUCUGGGAACACGAGUUCUUCUAGACCCCAUAUCGUAGCCAAGUAACCAAUAGCCCAUCCCAUCCCACCAUUAAAAAGCAAAGGG
rnacentral:lncRNA from 1 species